ensembl:lncRNA
GUAGUGACAUGAUUUUCUUCAUGUUUAAAGAAGUCAAAAUUGUGUUUUAUUUUAUUCACUGUGGAUGCUGAUAAUGGAGCGUUGUUAGGUUUCUCCAACUCAAAACGAUCACAUUAAAAACACUAGUCCUUUUCGAUUUCCUUUAUGAUUUUGCUUCGUGUGACUACAUUCAGUUGCUCUAUGAAAACAGCUGAAUAUGAAAAUAACUUUUUAGCUACGAACUAACAGGCUAACGAACGAACCAAGCUAGUAUGUACAGUAGCCCGGUUAUAAGAAUGCCCUUAUAUUGAGCGUUCCUUGAAUGGGACGGGACCAAACAUGACCAACAACUAAAAACGUCUUAAAAAUUCUGAUUAUGAGCAUGUAAAUUAUGACCGAAUAACAUUUUGUACCUAGUACUAGUUGUAGUCCUAGUUAUGUACCUGAAACAGAUUAGGUUUUUUGACAUUUUUCAAUGAGAAACGCCUGUGAGCCAAACGUCCCAAUCAUUAUGCUGGCAGGAAAUGGCGGGAAUGGAACUUUGAAAGUGCUGUUAUUCUUAGUUGAUAAAACAUGUAACAGACAGAAAUAAAAGGUGAGAUUCUGUACUUUGGCUUCUUUUAUCUUUUAAUCAUAUUUUCGUAUGCCUUAAGUGUACAGCAAAAAUAGCAGUUUUGACUUGACUGUCCCAAUGCUUACGGAGAGCCCAGUAUACCCGUUGAUUCUUGAAUAUAUCAUUUAUAAAUGCCUCAUGAGCUUAAUUCAACUGUUGUACCCAAUUCUAUAAAAUCAGCAGAUUCUAAUUGGGUUUGUGACAUAAUUUGAUGUGCUUGAUGUUUAGAUGUUCACAAAUUUAUGUUGUAUUCCUCCACAGGGACAUAAGAGGAGGUGAAGGACAGGAUAUGAAGCAUCUGAGGAUUCUCCUCCUUCUAGCAGGUAAUGCGUGCAGUGAAUAUAUGCCUCCAAUCUCAACCUGACGCUAGCUUAACAAUUGCUCAUGAAGGGUUACAUAAUCACCAUCUACCACUAUAGCUAGUUUGAAAGAAGAGCAGUGACUGUUAGAUGGAUCUUGGUUCAGUAUCAGGAUGGUGGAUAUAGAGUAUAAUGGACUGAAAUGUUUUCUUAACUGACCUUUUUCUUAUUCAUUUUCUAACAGGACUAGUGGGGACAACAUCAGGCCAGAGCACAACAGCAAUAUCCCAAGAUGUUGGCGUCAAUACAACAAAAGGUAAUGGACUUUAUCCUCACAGGUCAACUGAGGCACAUGGUGUCCUCGGUUCUGAUAUGAAUAGCUGUGGUGGAGACUUCCUGUGUUCAACUGGAUCUGCUGGUUCAAGACUGUCACACAUUGCUUUGAAUUGCAAUGGGUGUGUGGAAUAUGAAGUCUGCUGGAAAAGACAAGUCAUAAAUGUCUGGAACACCACAUACAUUUGAGCUAUAAGUUCCACAUUCAGAAAGCACAGAGUCUGCAGAUCGCGGGUGAUGGAUAAAGGAUUCCCCCCUCUUUAGUGAUAUCCAAUGAAUCACUUAAGGACCUGCUACAUCGCUGCAGCUUCCAGUGGACUCAGGACAGUCGAUGUCGAGAGAGGUGUCCUACGAACUGAAUCCGACGCCAUUCUGGUUCUAAUUACGCGGCUCGCUCAUAAGCCCAGCCGCGAAUACAGACUUCUACCGUUAUUAACUGACAGGCACCCAAGCCGCCACAGAGUGGCGCUAGAGCACCUUCAGGCAAGGCACCCCGAAUUCUUUUAAUAUCCCGGUCAAACUGUGACUGGGUCGUCCAAUUGCACGGCCCUCUGAUUGCACCCCUUAGCUGCGAACCGGACUCAAACCCUGGUCUUACGGUGUCACCGCUAACUGAGUGUCAAACAUCUGUAAUUCAAACCACACAGUGGCCAGUUUAUUCUAGUAAUGGGGUGGACCCUCUUGUUCCCCCAGAACAGCCUGGAUUCUUCAGGGCAUGGACUGUUUGAGGGGUGUCUAAAACAUUUGAUGGGGAUGUUGGUCAAUGCUGAUGCAAUGACAUCCUUUUGCAAUUGGUACUUAUUUUGAAUGAUGGUACAUUCGUGCUGAAGACAUGUUCCUGUUCCUCAUCUCAUCUUAAAGAUGGUGAGCUGGGGUCCGGUCCGGUGGGGACUGGGCAGGCCAGUCAAGUAAAGAAGGUCCAUUGGGGUUAGAUCUGGGGACUGGGCAGGCCAGUCAAGUAAAGAAGGUCCGUUGGGGUUAGAUCUGGGAACUGGGCAGGCCAGUCAAGUAAAGAAGGUGCAUUAUGGUUAAGUCUGGUUAGGCAUGUCAUUAAUUUCAAAUAAGUAAUUAAUGAGUAUUUCACAACAAGCUGUGACAGCCAAACUAUUUGCCCAAAUUCAACAGUUUUUCCAGACCUGACCAUGAUGCUAUGUUAGUUUACAUGACAAUGCCC